AUCAGCGACCAUGCCACAUAGAAAGCAAUGGUUCUCGUCCGAUCACGAUCAUCGAAGUUAAACUACGUCGGGCCGGGUUAGUACUUGCAUGGGGUGACCGUCUGGGAAUACCCGGUAUUGGUGAGU
rnacentral:rRNA from 1 species